ensembl:lncRNA
AUGGCUCUCCCUCUUCCAUUGUUCUUUCAGGGGCAAAAGCUGACUUGGCAGAAGCUGUCUGAUACUGUGGGUCAUCCUGACCUUGAGGCUGCGCAACGUGCCCUGGCAGAUUCAGAGUGUGUCCUGCUAGAACCCAUGUGCUGGACUCACAUUUUCAUUGCUGUGUGGCCCACUUGUGCUAUUCUUUCUCACAGAGCCUCCAUUCCUUCAACUUGAAGGAGGAGCGUAACAGAGUGAAGGUAAGAGUCCCUAGUACAGAGUAAACUUUAAAAACCAUGUCUAACUUAAAAAGGAGUAACUUAAAAAUCCUAUAGAUGAAAGUAGAAAUUUACCUUCAUGUUGACAAUGUGAAAGGCUCUCUAUGUUUCUGAGGAGUCCUGCCUCUUUUGUACUGCUUAUGUAAAUGGAGUCCUGCUUCUGCAAAUGGGCCUAUUUAUUCAACCCUGUGUCAGUAGUUAUUUAUGGGCUAUAACACCAGGAGAGGCAGUGGCCCUUAAGAGAGAGAAUCGGCCGGGCACGGUGACUCAUGCCUGUAAUCCCAGCACUUUGGGAGGUUGAGGCGGGUGGAUCACAAGUUCAGGAGAUCGAGACCAUCCUGGCUAACACGGUGAACCCCUGUCUCUACUAAAAAAUACAAAAGAAUUAGCUGGGCAGGGUGGUGGGCACCUGUAGUCCCAGCUACUUGGGAGGCUGAGGCAGGAGAAGGGCGUGAACCCAGGAGGCGGAGCUUGCAGUGAGCCUAGAUCAGGCCACUGCACUCCAGCCUGGGCGACAGAGUGAGACUCCGCCUCAAAAAAAAAAAAGAGAGAGAGAGAGAGAUAAUCAUGGGCUUGUGGUAAGAACUAGGCUUGAGCUCUGACUCCUCCAGGAUCUCUGACUUUGGAAAAAUUAUUAAACUUCACUGAGUUAUGGUUUCUCGUCUGUAAAAUGAUAUGAUGGAAUGAAGUCUGAGUCUCCCCAAAAUUCUUAUAUUGAAGCCUUAACCACAGUGUGAUUGUAUUUGGGUGUAGAGCCUUUAGCAGGUAAUUAGGGUUAGAUGAAGUCACAACGGUGGGCCCCUUAUAAUGAGAUUAGUGCCCUUAUAAGAAGCAGGCCAGAGCUGUCGCUCUUUCCACCAUAUGAGGAUACAGCAAGAAGGCAGUCAUCUGCAAGUCAGGAAGAGGGUCUUCACCAGGAACUGAAUUGGCUGCCACGUUGUUCCUGAACUUCCCAUCCUCCACAAAUGUGAGAAAUCAAUGUCUGUUGGUUAAACCACCCAGUCUAUGCUAUUCUGUUGUAGCAGCCUAAUCUAAGACAGAUAGAAAUAAGAAUACCAAUCUAUUGUAUAGAGUUGUUAGGCCACAAAUGAGACACUUGUAUAUUAAAUGUAUGUAAAUUUUCAAUCAAUUUUAAGUACUAUAUUAGGACCUAGAGAGAUUUGAAAGUGAAUCAGACACAGACCUUGCCCUCAGAAAGUUCAGUUUCCCAAGUGAUGUAAGACUCUUAUAUAAUCAACAAGUAUACAAAGUAUGAAGGGCCACAUUCAUUAAUUCUUUGUUCAUUCAUUUAUUUAACAAAUAUGUUUUGAGCAUCUAACUAUGUGCCAGGUGUUAUUCUAGAUUUUCAGGAGACUACAGUAAACAAAAGAAAUUCUGUGUUCUUAGAGAAUUUGUAUCUGAGUUUGGGAAGCAGUCAAUAUACAAAAUGUUAAAUAUGUCUGGUAGUGGGAAGUGCUUUGAAGAAAAAAAAAGUAAGACAAUAGAUAAGAGUAAUAAGGGGCACAUGGCCAUUUUGUACAAAGUGAUAAGGAAAGCUCUAGCCAGGUCUGUCUGAUAAGGGACAUUUGAGCAUAUGCAUCCAUGAAGGGAGCCAAUGAUCCAAGAGGUUUUUGGGAAAAAAAUGUUCCAGGCAGAGGGAGCAGCAAGUGCAAAUAUGCUGAGGCAGCUGGGUUGUUUAUUUAUUUGUAUUUAUUUAUUUUGUGAGACAGCGUCUCACUCCAUCACCAAGGUUGGAGGGCAGUGUCGCAAUCUUGGCUCACUGCAACCUCCGCCUCCCAGGUUCAAGUGAUUCUUGUGCCUCAGCCUCCC